rnacentral:lncRNA from 1 species
CUCAACAAAGAGUUCCUUGGAAUAUGGUACUGCCUUCCUGUUCUUAAAUGUACAGAGAUCGAGAGCUACUUCUUUGAGAGCCAAGGGGUCACAGCCCACAAUGAGGUCCUAGGAUUUACAUCAGAAAGAAGUUAUAUCAGAUGGUAUCUACAGCAGAAGGCAGGGAACAGGGCAGCACACUGCACCAUCUGCUGUGAUAAAUGCGCCCAGGGAGACAUCUUAAACUCUGUGACAGUGGAAAACAAAGUCGCCUCAGCAGCAACUUUCCGGAGGAGGUGCAUUUCAAGAUGGGCUGUGCAUCAUAGACAGCUUUCCUCUGAUGAUUUCUUGUUUGGGUAUUUGUCCUUGACGGAGCAUCUCACUAUGUAGCCUUGGAUGGCCUGGAACACCCUAUGUAUACCAGGUUAGUGACUUACUGUGAUCGUCCUGCCUCUGCCUUUUAAGUGACUUCACUCCUAACUUGUGAUAAUUUCUUUUCCAAAGAUUAAGUAAAAUUUAAAAAGUAACACAAAUUGUAUGUGUUCAUCAUACACAUAUUCUAGAAUAUGUAUGCACCAUAGAAUGGCUAAACAGAACUGAUUAAUGCCUGAGUUGUUCACACACAUCAGUUUUAAUGGCAAGAACGACCUCCAUUGUGUCUUCUCAAGACUCUGAGUUCCUUGUCUCAGAGCCAACUGGGCCUUGCAGACGCAAGGGAGAAACUUGGGUCUCCCCCUCUGCCUUCUAUAUUGGCAUCCUUGAGUAGUUCCUGCUCUUCACAGUCUCAUCCUCUUUCUAUUUCUAAAUCUUGAUCCCUGUCUAAGCCAGUACAGCUCUAGCUCUUCUUCCCCCCUUUUGCAAAUAUUCGGUAAACAUAAGAACUACCUCACGUGGAAGACCUCCAAGGCACAGUGUGCUUCGUGAUCUGCGCAGGCUGUGGAGGCACCUGAAGGAGACAUGACAGGUGAGAUGCCACUCA